rnacentral:tRNA from 1 species
AAAGAAUUAGUUAAUUUAUAACAUUAAUAUGUCAAAUUAAAAUUAUCAAAUAUUUGAUAUUCUUUA